rnacentral:lncRNA from 1 species
UGACGAGCCCUUCUCCUCUCGACUAGCUGAUUCUCUAAACUGGUUUCCCGCUGAUUGACUGGCGUGUGUUGGCUCACAAAAAUCCUCUAGCGAAUGACCGAACUAUACCUGCAAAAUAAUAGAAAAAGCUCUCCUCGUCUGCUGCUUCUUCUCCUCCUUUUAUGGAAAAAUAAAUCCUCCAAUAAUUCAAAAAAACUUGAUCUUAUCCCCUUAAUCUUAGCCUAACCCGUCGCAUAGCUUCUGCUUAGUAGAGUUUGACUUCGAUUAAACUCCUCAAGCCUGAUUUGGCUUCCUUAAUUCAAUUGGAGUCGGCCACCGCUUAGCAAGAAGGAAAUAAUAAUAAUUCCCUUGCUGUCCGUUUGUUCAUUCGGCCUGCUGCUUUUCUAUUGGACUGAAUUUUGUCCCAAUGUUAAUUUAAUUCCUUCAACCAGCAUAUGAUCGUCAUUCAGCAGCUUAAUUUAUGCGAAUUACCUUCCAAAUUGAGCUUAUACAGGCAUCAACCUGCACAUGAAAUAAAAUUAAAAUUAAAUUGUUGAAUUGGAGUGCAAUUAAAUUAUUACGGCAUAGAAUGUCUCUAAUCAAUUUAGGCUGAAUUAUAACUUAAUUAACCAAAAAAGUAAUCAACAAUUUAAAUAAUUUAAUUGAAUAAGUUAAGCUCAAAAUUGAAC